CACAGUUGUAUGACUACACUGAAGCAAGCCCAGAAUAAAGUGUUGAGUGACCAUGAUGAAUCAGUACUACUAACGCCAAAGAAGUGAGGGAAGUGUUUGGAGCGAGCGUGCAAGACGUACGUACAACAGACACCAGACUGCUACUGCCGGUGUAGCCAAAGGAACAAAAGGAGGCAGAGGAGGAGGAAGAAGAGGAACAAGAGAGUGAUUCUUGGAGACGUACCAAUGAAGUUCUGAAGAUUGGCCACAAAUCUUCAUUACUGAGACGACCAACCCGUCAGGAAGUCAACUGAUCACGGAGGGACGCCAAAGAACGCCUGACUUCCGAUCUUUCUAAGAUUUCCGAUUGGGGCAGAGAAAAUCUAGUAGUUUUCAAUGCCUCAAAAACUCAAUUCCUCCAUCUAUCAACUCGACACAACCUUUCA